rnacentral:piRNA from 1 species
GGGACUAAGACAGGCAUUUCAGCAG